UACGUAGGGGGCAAGCGUUGUCCGGAAUCAUUGGGCGUAAAGAGCGCGUAGGCGGCCCUGUAAGUCCGCUGUGAAAGUCAAGGGCUCAACCCUUGAAUGCCGGUGGAUACUGCAGGGCUAGAGUCCGGAAGAGGCGAGUGGAAUUCCUGGUGUAGCGGUGAAAUGCGCAGAUAUCAGGAAGAACACCAAUGGCGAAAGCAGCUCUCUGGGACGGUACUGACGCUGAGGCGCGAAAGCGUGGGGAGCAAACAGG
rnacentral:rRNA from 1 species